rnacentral:rRNA from 1 species
AAUGGGGAAACCCAGUGUGAUUCGUCACACUAUCAUUAACUGAAUCCAUAGGUUAAUGAGGCGAACCGGGGGAACUGAAACAUCUAAGUACCCCGAGGAAAAGAAAUCAACCGAGAUUCCCCCAGUAGCGGCGAGCGAACGGGGAGGAGCCCAGAGCCUGAAUCAGUGUGUGUGUUAGUGGAAGCGUCUGGAAAGGCGCGCGAUACAGGGUGACAGCCCCGUACACAAAAAUGCACAUACUGUGAGCUCGAUGAGUAGGGCGGGACACGUGGUAUCCUGUCUGAAUAUGGGGGGACCAUCCUCCAAGGCUAAAUACUCCUGACUGACCGAUAGUGAACCAGUACCGUGAGGGAAAGGCGAAAAGAACCCC